rnacentral:rRNA from 1 species
GUAGGUGGCAAGCGUUGUCCGGAAUUAUUGGGCGUAAAGCGCGCGCAGGCGGUCCUUUAAGUCUGAUGUGAAAGCCCACGGCUCAACCGUGGAGGGUCAUUGGAAACUGGGGGACUUGAGUACAGAAGAGGAAAGCGGAAUUCCAAGUGUAGAGGUGAAAUGCGUAGAGAUUUGGAGGAACACCAGUGGCGAAGGCGGCUUUCUGGUCUGUAACUGACGCUGAGGCGCGAAAGCGUGGGGAGCAAACAGGAUUAGAUACCCUGGUAGUCCACGCCGUAAACGAUGAGUGCUAAGUGUUAGGGGGUUUCCCGCCCCCCUUAGUGCUGCAGCUAACGCAUUAAGCACUCCGCCUGGGGAGUACGGCCGCAAGGCUG